rnacentral:lncRNA from 10 species
GGAUUACAGGCAUGAGUCACCGUGCCCGGCCCUUCAUGGUGAUCUUUACAGUAUGUUACUGACUGUCAGGUUUCCUCUUAGCAAUAAGGGGGUCCAGGAAACGGUUGUCUUGCAAAUUAAGAAUUCUUUGCAAAAAUAGAAAACCAAAUGAUUUCCCAAAAUUACUGAGGUACUUAUUAGAGAAUAAGAAAGAUUAAGCUUUUUCUCUCAAUACAGGUGCGACCCAUCAUGGUUUCUGUAUGUGUUUUUCUAGCAAGACAAAUGCCGGGAACUGAUUGGCUUGUGUUUUAUCUCGCAUUGCCUUGGGAAAUGAGCCUACUGUGUGGUCUAAGAUACAGGAAAAGAAAUGAUGGGGAUCAAGGCCAUCAAGCUACAGAUGUUCCUACGAAUGGAACCCCAAAUGAGCUCAACUCACAACUUCUACCAAGAACCCCUGGACCAACCCACUGGCCCUUUGACUGGCCUAGAGAGUUCCCCUCUGGAGGACACUACAACUGCAGGGCCCCUUCUUCAUCCCUAUCCAGCAGAAAGUAGCUAGAGCAGUCAUCACCCAAUUCCCAACAGCAGUUGGGGUGUCCUGUUUAGAGGGGGGAUUGAGAGGUGAAGCCAGCUGGACUUCCUGGGUCAAGUGGGGGCUUGGAGAUCUUUUCUGUCUUAGAAGGAGAUUGUAAAAGUCACCAAUCAGUGCUCUGUAAAAAUGCACCAAUCAGUGCUCUGUAACUAGCAAGAGAAUUGAAAAAUGCACAAUCAGCGCUCUGUAAAAUGCACCAAACAUCAGGAUCCCAAAAGUAGCCAAUCUCAGGGAGGAUUGAAAAAAGGGCACUCUGACAGGACAAAAACAGAACAUAGGAGGGGACAAAUAAGGGAAUAAAAGCUGGCUACCCCAGCCAGCAGAGGCAACCUGCUUGCAUCCCCUUCCACACUGUGGAAGCUUUGUUCUUUCGCUCUUCACAAUAAACCUUGCUACUGCUCACUCUUUGGGCCCGUGCCACCUUUAAGAGCUGUAACACUCACUGCAAAGGUCUGCGGCUUCAUUCUUCAUUCACUGGAAGCAACCAACUUGGGACACACCACCAUGCCUGGUUAAUUUUUUGUAUUUUCAGUAGAGGUGGGGUUUCACUGUGUUAGCCAGGAUUGUCUUGAUCUCCUGACCUCAUGAUCUGCCUGCCUCUGCCUCCCAAAGUGCUGGGAUUACAGGCGUGAGCCGCUAUGCCCGGUGAACACAUACAUUUUCAACAGAAGAGCAAGAGAGCAUAGAACCCAGAAUAGCAGAGGCAUAUAGGCCCCGUUUUGCAGGAGUCAAAUAACUUAAUUCUUAGCACAAUCCUGUAAGAUGAAUUCUGUUAUAAUCCCACUCUCUAGAUAAAGAAUUCAAGGCACCAAGAGUUUAGUUCAUGAGCAGUAAGAGAUUUGGGCCCAAGUGGUUUUGUGUCAAAGCUUAUGCUUGGCAUAAUUUUUUGAUAGAGAGCCAGAUGGUAAAUAUUUUGGAAUAUUAGUGUUCAAAUAGUCUGUGUCACAACUAGUGCCUCUGCUGUUGUAACAUAAAAGCAGCCAUAGCCAAUGUAUAAAAGAAUAGCUGUCAACUUAAAUGCCCAUCAAUGAUAGAUUGGAUAAAGACGAUGUGGUACAUAUACACUAUGGCAUACUAUGCAGCCAUGAAAAACAAUGAGAUCAUAUCCUGUGCAGGAACAUGGAUGGAACUGGAGGUCCUUAUCCUUAGCAAACAAACACAAGAACAGAAAACCAAAUAUUGCAUGUUUUCACUUAUAAGCAGGAGCUAAAUGAUGAGAACACAUGGAUACAUAGAGGGGAACAGCACACACUUGGGCCUAUUGGAGGGUGGAGGGUGGGAGUGGGGAGAGGAUCAGGAAAAAUAACUAAUGGGUAGUAAGCUUAGUACCUGGGUGAUAAAAUAAUCUGUAUAACAAACCCCUAUGACACAUGUAUACCUAUGUAACAAAGUGGCACAUGUAACCCUGAACUUAAAAGUUAAGAAAAAAGAAUGGGUUAUGUAUGUGUUCUAAUAAAACUUUACUUGUAAAAACUGGUGAAGGCCAGAAUCUGGGUUGUCACAUGGGGCAGGAAGAGAUGAGGACUGAGGAAAAGAGGAAGAAGUCAAGACAGAGGAAUAAGGGAG